AGAGUUUGAUCCUGGCUCAGGACGAACGCUGGCGGUGUGCUUCACACAUGCAAGUCGAGCGAAUGAAGUAGGUAGCUUGCUACUUAUGGAUUUAGCGGCGGACGGGUGAGUAAUAUAUAGGAAUCUGCCUUAGAGCGGGGAACAACAGACCGAAAGGUUUGCUAAUGCCCCAUAGGUAUGCAGUCUUCGGAUUGUAUAUUAAAGGAGUAAUCCACUCUAAGAUGAGCCUGUAUCCGAUUAGCUAGUUGGCGGGGUAAAGGCCCACCAAGGCUACGAUCGGUAGUUGGUCUGAGAGGAUGAUCAGCCACAAUGGGACUGAGACACGGCCCAUACUCCUACGGGAGGCAGCAGUGGGGAAUUUUACACAAUGGGGGAAACCCUGAUGUAGCGACACCGCGUGAACGAAGAAGCCUUUUGGGGUGUAAAGUUCUGUCGGCUGGAACGAAAAAAAUGACGGUACCAGCAAAGGAAGCAUCGGCUACCUACGUGCCAGCAGCCGCGGUAAGACGUAGGAUGCGAGCGUUGUCCGGAUUUAUUGGGCGUAAAGAGUUCGUAGGCGGUUAUUUAAGUCUGAUGUUAAAUACUGUGGCCUAACCACAGAACUGCAUUGGAUACUGGAUGACUUGAGUGCGGUAGAGGCAAGUGGAAUUCCCAGUGUAGCGGUGAAAUGCGUA
rnacentral:rRNA from 1 species